UUAAGUUAGAAAGGGCGCACGGUGGAUGCCUUGGCACUAGGAGCCGAUGAAGGACGGGACGAACACCGAUAUGCUUCGGGGAGCUGUAAGCAAGCUUUGAUCCGGAGAUUUCCGAAUGGGGAAACCCACCACUCGUAAUGGAGUGGUAUCCAUAUCUGAAUACAUAGGAUAUGAGAAGGCAGACCCGGGGAACUGAAACAUCUAAGUACCCGGAGGAAGAGAAAGCAAAUGCGAUUCCCUGAGUAGCGGCGAGCGAAACGGGACCAGCCCAAACCAAGAGGCUUGCCUCUUGGGGUUGUAGGACACUCUGUACGGAGUUACAAAGGAACGAGGUAGAUGAAGAGGUCUGGAAAGGCCCGCCAUAGGAGGUAACAGCCCUGUAGUCAAAACUUCGUUCUCUCCUGAGUGGAUCCUGAGUACGGCGGAACACGUGAAAUUCCGUCGGAAUCCGGGAGGACCAUCUCCCAAGGCUAAAUACUCCCUAGUGACCGAUAGUGAACCAGUACCGUGAGGGAAAGGUGAAAAGCACCCCGGAAGGGGAGUGAAAGAGAUCCUGAAACCGUGUGCCUACAAGUAGUCAGAGCCCGUUAACGGGUGAUGGCGUGCCUUUUGUAGAAUGAACCGGCGAGUUAUGAUCCCGUGCAAGGUUAAGCAGAAGAUGCGGAGCCGCAGCGAAAGCGAGUCUGAAUAGGGCGAAUUGAGUACGUGGUCGUAGACCCGAAACCAGGUGAUCUACCCAUGUCCAGGGUGAAGUUCAGGUAACACUGAAUGGAGGCCCGAACCCACGCACGUUGAAAAGUGCGGGGAUGAGGUGUGGGUAGGGGUGAAAUGCCAAUCGAACCUGGAGAUAGCUGGUUCUCUCCGAAAUAGCUUUAGGGCUAGCCUCAAGGUAAGAGUCUCGGAGGUAGAGCACUGAUUGGACUAGGGGCCCCUACCGGGUUACCGAAUUCAGUCAAACUCCGAAUGCCGAUGACUUAUCCUUGGGAGUCAGACUGCGAGUGAUAAGAUCCGUAGUCGAAAGGGAAACAGCCCAGACCGCCAGCUAAGGUCCCAAAGUAUACGUUAAGUGGAAAAGGAUGUGGAGUUGCUUAGACAACCAGGAUGUUGGCUUAGAAGCAGCCACCAUUUAAAGAGUGCGUAAUAGCUCACUGGUCGAGUGACUCUGCGCCGAAAAUGUACCGGGGCUAAACGUAUCACCGAAGCUGCGGACUGUUCUUCGAACAGUGGUAGGAGAGCGUUCUAAGGGCUGUGAAGCAAGACCGGAAGGACUUGUGGAGCGCUUAGAAGUGAGAAUGCCGGUAUGAGUAGCGAAAGAGGGGUGAGAAUCCCCUCCACCGAAUGCCUAAGGUUUCCUGAGGAAGGCUCGUCCGCUCAGGGUUAGUCGGGACCUAAGCCGAGGCCGAAAGGCGUAGGCGAUGGAUAACAGGUUGAUAUUCCUGUACCACCUCCUCACCAUUUGAGCAAUGGGGGGACGCAGGAGGAUAGGGUAAGCGCGGUAUUGGAUAUCCGCGUCCAAGCAGUUAGGCUGGGAAAUAGGCAAAUCCGUUUCCCGUGAAGGCUGAGCUGUGAUGGCGAGCGAAUUAUAGUAGCGAAGUUCCUGAUUCCACACUGCCAAGAAAAGCCUCUAGCGAGGUGAGAGGUGCCCGUACCGCAAACCGACACAGGUAGGCGAGGAGAGAAUCCUAAGGUGAUCGAGAGAACUCUCGUUAAGGAACUCGGCAAAAUGACCCCGUAACUUCGGGAGAAGGGGUGCUCUGUUAGGGUGCAAGCCCGAGAGAGCCGCAGUGAAUAGGCCCAGGCGACUGUUUAGCAAAAACACAGGUCUCUGCGAAGCCGUAAGGCGAAGUAUAGGGGCUGACGCCUGCCCGGUGCUGGAAGGUUAAGAGGAGCGCUUAGCGUAAGCGAAGGUGCGAAUUGAAGCCCCAGUAAACGGCGGCCGUAACUAUAACGGUCCUAAGGUAGCGAAAUUCCUUGUCGGGUAAGUUCCGACCCGCACGAAAGGCGCAACGAUCUGGGCACUGUCUCAACGAGAGACUCGGUGAAAUUAUAGUACCUGUGAAGAUGCAGGUUACCCGCGACAGGACGGAAAGACCCCGUGGAGCUUUACUGCAGCCUGAUAUUGAAUGUUGGUACAGCUUGUACAGGAUAGGUAGGAGCCUUGGAAACCGGAGCGCCAGCUUCGGUGGAGGCAUCGGUGGGAUACUACCCUGGCUGUAUUGACCUUCUAACCCGCCGCCCUUAUCGGGCGGGGAGACAGUGUCAGGUGGGCAGUUUGACUGGGGCGGUCGCCUCCUAAAAGGUAACGGAGGCGCCCAAAGGUUCCCUCAGAAUGGUUGGAAAUCAUUCGCAGAGUGUAAAGGUACAAGGGAGCUUGACUGCGAGACCUACAAGUCGAGCAGGGACGAAAGUCGGGCUUAGUGAUCCGGUGGUUCCGCAUGGAAGGGCCAUCGCUCAACGGAUAAAAGCUACCCCGGGGAUAACAGGCUUAUCUCCCCCAAGAGUCCACAUCGACGGGGAGGUUUGGCACCUCGAUGUCGGCUCAUCGCAUCCUGGGGCUGUAGUCGGUCCCAAGGGUUGGGCUGUUCGCCCAUUAAAGCGGUACGCGAGCUGGGUUCAGAACGUCGUGAGACAGUUCGGUCCCUAUCCGUCGCGGGCGUAGGAAAUUUGAGAGGAGCUGUCCUUAGUACGAGAGGACCGGGAUGGACGCACCGCUGGUGUACCAGUUGUUCUGCCAAGGGCAUCGCUGGGUAGCUAUGUGCGGACGGGAUAAGUGCUGAAAGCAUCUAAGCAUGAAGCCCCCCUCAAGAUGAGAUUUCCCAUUCCGCAAGGAAGUAAGAUCCCUGAAAGAUGAUCAGGUUGAUAGGUCUGAGGUGGAAGUGUGGCGACACAUGGAGCUGACAGAUACUAAUCGAUCGAGGACUUAACCUA
rnacentral:rRNA from 1 species